CACCAGAAGAGUGAGCGAGAGAGAGAGAGAGAGCACAGUCAAAGCAAGCAGGCACCCAUUUGGUGGGAGCGAGUCAAGGCGAUGGCGACAUUCCCACCACACACUUGCUCUCGCGCAAGCAUCUCUAUCUCCUCACAAUCACAAGCAAGCAAGCAAGCAGUGAGCAUGGCAGAUGCGGCGCCCAUCUCACUCUCACGCUCUCCACCACCAUUCACCA
rnacentral:lncRNA from 1 species